GCAGGUCGACACAAACGUUCUCAUCUGUGCGCUUGUUUGUCUCUCGGUUUUGGACGCUAAUGAGACGCAGCGAUGUGAGGGAGACAAUUUUAGACCAAGACUGAAGACACGUGUCAGCAAGACCGCGGAGGACGCCGCGCACGCGAACACACGUACACAAUCUAGACGUGUGGGGAGGCAAGUGGGCGCCCUUCUCCCCCUCUGGAGGAUACAAUUAGCAGUGCCAUCUGUAUGUAUGAGACUCAGAGGUGAGGACGGCACAGGAGGAGCACGGCUGUCCAUUUACGCUCAAAUCGUUACUUCGGCCCAUUCAUCGCUCCUUUCAUUUCUGCUCGGCUAAGGAAUGCGCUCGCCCACAUUAAGCCAUCAACUCCAAACCGCUGCAUUUCCUCUGCGGUGUCUCGCCGCGUCUCGGCCCCUCCGUCUGUGCGGCAUCCAGCCCCUCAAACGUCCGUUCGGCUGCCUGUCCUUCCCCAGGCCGCAUUCUUCUCUGCUCAUCCUCUCGUUCCCAUGUUCCUCACUGAUGUCUGUCGUUCCGUCUUUACACCCUUUCUAUCUGUCUUUAGAUGGAAGAAGGACAGGUCGGGCUUGUAAACGGGGCCACUGAUGAUCCUGCUAAUUAGCUGCCGCAUCACCUUGAGCUGUGGUCCCGGCAGCGAGAUGGGAGAGAAGAAAGAGAAAGAUGUCAUGAUCUAAAAGAAACAACCCGGUUGGAUUCUGGCAUCACCCAAAAAAAAAAAGAAACCAUCGCUGACUUUAUCUAUGGCUUUGAAAUAGCCGGAUCAGAGCACACAUUAAUACAAACGCUUAAUAUGAAAUACCGUACCGGUACAACUAUAUAUAUAUAUAUAUAUAUAUAUAUAUGUUUAGCAAAAUGUUAAUUAUUUAUUUAAUAAGAAAAUGUUAUGUGUGAGAUUGUCCCUGAUAAUAUAGUGAAUCUAUUUUAUCAUCGUUUAGAAACAGUUCAAAAAGGCCAAUCGUAACUUUCUUGAAAAAGCCAAGUUAGUGUUACUAACAAAAACAUUCCACUCAAGUUUAAGUUUGCGUAAUAGAUUUAACGCUGCACUGAAAAUAAAAAAAAACAAUUCCGUCCAAUGCCUGCUAACAAUAUUGAUAUAGUUAUUUGUGCGAGUGCAGACAAUUAGCACGCGCCGCUAAAAUAAAUUGAUGGCGCUUGUCGUUUUCCUGGAGGGCAAAAUCAUCACGUAAUUAACCCGUUAAAAAUCUAUACACAGCAGACUGCAUGCAAAGUGAGAGGCCAUGUCCCCCAUUAGCAGCAGAUUUCCAAGUGGAUCUUGCUGUUGUACUAUUGGCUGCUCGGGGAGUCACCAGACUUCCUAUUGGUCCUGGCAACUGGUUAAUGAGCCUCAAUGUCCACUUCACUCAGUGGGAUUAUCAUGGUGUUAAAUAUUGAUAUCAGUCUACUAAUUACUGUCUAAUAAUUACAGAAUAAAUAAUUAAAAGUAAAAACUAUACACCAGUUUGUGUAAUUAAAGAAGGCUAAUUAAUGCAAUAAUUGAUUUUUAUGUUAAUUUAAUUUGCCAUGAAAUCUGAAGAAUCCUGGGAGGAUGACGCACAAUGAAGUAUCACACUCUCUUGGAUAAAGUCAAUAGAUUCAGUAUGAUUACAAAGUAUGUUUUUUUUUAAAUGGCAGCGCAAGUGUUGUAAACAAAGCAACAAAAAAUAUAACGUAAUGUGUUUGAUUAAAAAGUAAUAAGGAAGCUCAUGUCAACCGAGGCUCCUCUAAUGACACACUCGUGUAAAUACUCAACAGACUACUGAAUGCCAUUUCUUUUCGUUUUGCCUUGUACUUUUUUCUAAUUGGGGAGCACGCUGAAACCGGAUGCGCAAAUGAAUGGAAUGGAGGCACUAGAGGGGCUGGAUGAGCCUUUGUUCAAAAGAGAGCGAGAGAGAGAAGAUGAAAAACCUUCUUCUUCUGAGAUCUGGGUCAGAGCUGCGCGUUGCAGCGGCGAGUCGUCCUCCUCUGUGCAGCACACUUUGCCUCCUGUAUUUGUCUCUGUGAAGGCGCAGCCCACCUGGUGAAGCAUCCCCGGGUGGAACGAGCACCCACACGCUCACAGCCUUACAUACGCAAACAGCAAUCACAGUUUAAAUGCUCUCUCGCACGCUUACAUGCGCAUGCGUGCUCAUCCCGCGGUUCAUGAUGUGCUGCAGCACCGAGUCAAUGAGGCAGCGAGCCGUCUCAGGGGGGGGACGGCCGGACCGGCUGAGGCCAACUGCUCGUCCCUGAUACACGAGGGGGAUUCUCAGAGUCAGCAGCUCAAGAUUCAGCUUCAUAGAUUAGCAGUGAGCUAACUAGACCCCCCUCUUCUCCGGGCUGCAUUGUGAGGAAGAAGGUCUUUGCAUUGUCGCUGCACUCAUUUCGCCUGAAAAAAGAAACACACACACACACACACGCGCACAAUUCACCCACACGCGCUGCCACUUAAACACAUGCGAGCCGGUGCAGGAGAAGCAACAGAGGCCUUUGAUUGACAUUAGCGCCGCGGCGGUGGAUCUAAUUUUCUCGGAUUGGUGGAGAGGAACAGCAAUGGAGGACGCGGCAAAUCGGCCUGUCAGUCAAAGUGGCUACCUGCCGCUGCUCGCGAGCACCCGGCAGCAAAGCCACGGAAAAACAAGGGGUUGUGUUGUUGAGGCAGAAAGGAUGUGGUUAUGGCCCAUACGUCACUUUAAUUGGGCCCAAUGACGGCAAAAUAUCAGUCACACGGCUUCUCCUCCAGCCUCUCAGCUCCACCUCUUCGCAUUCUCUCUUGCACCUGCGCUGUGCUAGUUUCGUUUUCCUCAGCAUGAGCCACAAACUAUCGACACACUGAAUACAAUUUUACUGAUGCAUGAAUACGCUCACACAUACACUCAGCUGUUAGCUAUUAGCCAAACACGCCAUCCAAAACAAUAAAAAAUGAACAAACUGUUUUGCCUACAGGGUCUGUGGCUGAAGAGCACCAGCGGCGACGCACUCGCGUGUGUGAUAGCGUGUGGCCUCAACCGGCGAGAGUAGUAAGUGAGGAGUCAGGGGGAAUUCAAGGACAAUUUAAAACAGGCAAUAAAAUGUGUUAUGAGAAAGUGUGAGUCACCGCAUCCACAAGUGGGUCCUGAAGCAUGCAGCUAUACAUUAGCAGCUAAAAUAUUCUGCAGCAUAAUGUGGGAUGAGAAUUUUUAUUAAUCAUGUGGGUAUUUUUCUACCCCAAGUAAGAAAAACACUUGUUGUUGAAUGUUUAAUCUUUAACAUGCGACUAAUCCAGUCUGAUUUCAAAGGCUUGGGUGCAGCGAUUGUCCUACUCAUGCCCUGGAGGUCUGAACUCCUCGUGACACUUGUGUCUGUUGCAUAUUGGAGCACAAUCGGCUUCCAAAAUUCUGAUUCAAGGUGAGCACAGCAAAACUCUAGUCUUUUUAAAGGAUAAAGGAUGUGAAAAACUCAUUCAGUAUUCUGCACAGUGAAGGUAAAAUAUUCAUAUAUUAUUGAAUAGAGGAGGGUUUUUACCAACCAUCUCCUGUGGAAUUAAUAAAGAAUUUAUGAUGCGGAUUAAAAUCUCCUGAGAAAAGAAAAUGUGUUCACCCACAUGAUUGACCCAAACAGCAACAGUGUGAUUCUUCCCUUUCUUUCUCCCCCCCCUUGUCAUGAGGUCAUCAAUCGGCUUGGAAUUUGAAUGGAUUGUAGGUUUGGAUCGCCUGUUGAUUCUAAUUCCAACAGAUCCUGUGGGGGCUAAACAGCGUGUAUCAGAUCGAUUCCGCCGCCUAUAGAGGAGGACUUAGUGAAUAAGAGAUGGUGCUGUGAGGCCCCCGGCAGAGAGAAUAAAGAUCUCUGCGUCAGGUAUCUGUUAUAUCUCGUCUUUGCUGCCGGGAAGGAGGUAGGUGUUGUAUAUGCUGUUAUCAGAAAGACUGUUACAGUAUCUCUAAUAUCAUUGGUAUGAAAAUGUCCAGAGGCCAUGAAUGGCCAUCUAACUGUCGCCUUUUCUUAUCAUUCCCUUUCUUUCCUUUCUGGUUUCCCAGUGAAAAGACCAAAAGGAAUGUGACUAAUAGACACUGACAGCCCACACAGAUUCUAAUCUUUUCCCAUUUUUCUGUCCGUCUUAAAAGAUCCUUUGUUAGGUGAAAAAAGGUGAAGGACGUCAGCCCCGGUGCUCCGUCUCGCUUAGUUCUUUUCCUUGACCCAUGAAAGGUGAGGGCGGACUUCGCAGUGGCCGGCGCACUAAAAGAAGAUCCCGCAUCUAAAGUAAAACCUAAUAUUCCUGUUUAGCUUUUGGAGGAUCGAAAACAGCUCAAGACCUUUUUCAGAACAAAAGCUGUCUCUCUCUCCCCCUCAUUUCUCUGCAUCUCUCGCUCCCUUUAACAGUCCUCUGUGCCGGAAAGUAAAAAUCCUCUACGCGCAUAGGCACCUCCUUGACUUGUGCUUUCAUUAACCUCUCGGUGUGCUCCAUCAGAGGCAGCGGAGAAUGUGCUGCAAUAAUAUCCCAGUGACAACACGUGGGUCAGGACCCCUCUGAUCCUGAGAGGGAAGAAUAUCUCAUUAACAGAGAAAGCCUUUGGGGACACUAAAGCAAUUUGGCUUGCCCUCUGUUCUCGAGAACCAAUUAAAACAUUAGCCUAAACUAUCGCAGUGCUCACAGAUGUUGAUACGCAGCCAUGACAGUUGCGUGCAUAACAGCGAAAAACCAAAAGCUGUAGCAGUGAUUCCCAAGGCUAAAAAAGUAAUCAGUGGAGGCCAACAAUACGCUGCAUGAUGUAAAAUGAAGGAGCCAACGCCAGAAAAUCAGAAAUAUGCUGCCGUUAUAAUAUGUGGCGUUUGAAUGGCGCUGUUUUUAACAUUAUACACAUUAAUGUAACAUCAAAAAACUACUUGCACACUUUCUGUGUGUGUUGAAAGCCGAGUUUCGUCAGCUCUCACGCUGUUAGCCGCCAGCUCGCCUUCGCCAUGCUGAGAGCCGCUGAGAAGCAAUUGAAAUGCUCGGAUCCUGCUCCUUUAAUGGGUUGUGUGUGUACGUCCUUGUCUCAGAAGUUAGAUUAUGCAUUUCAUUUUCAUUUAUAUGAGUAUGAAUCCAGUGAGUAAACGUUUAAAAGUUUCUUGACGGUUUUUCCCACAGUUUUCACUCCAUUUUCCAUCCCGCGAUUUGAUUCCAGUCUAUUAAACUGUGCUUCCAGGCCAGCUGCAGAAGUCUCAGCUUCAUUCUGCGCUAAUGAAACGCAGCCUGUCCGUAACCAAAUCUCAGUCCAUGAAAUCUUUGGAUAACUCUGGCCCAUGUGGAGGCGGGUCCUCAAUCGCCUCGAUCUCUAACUCAAUUCAACAAUUACAUGCAAAUAAUUCCACAGAUUUCAAUCAUUCCGAGACAUUAGUUGGAGAAAUAGAAGAAAGUUCAAACAAGGACAAUCCACAAAUAUUCCAAAUGACCAAAUAAAUUAUCCAAAGAAGAACUAAAUCGAUGGAAACAGAUUUUCUCUAAUUGUCUUUUAUUUGUUUUCCACGUUACAUUUUUCUGUAUUACACAUGUCUACUUUGUCUACUUUCGUCAAAUGUCAACAUUAAAUGUGCUUCUUGGUCAAAGAAAUUAAAAUGUAAAAGAGUGCACCAAUGGACAUCAUCAUAAUCAGACCUUCCAGUCUCAGCAGAGAAAAAUGAGAUGCUUGCCAUUUCAAAAUCUUAAACAAAAUCUGAUUACUCAUGAAUACUUCCUCCGGGCUGAAUAUGCUUCGCUGCUGUUUCUUUUCACAAGCUUUAAUCAGAGGUGAAUCUGUCUUUCCCUGAAAAAUGACAAGGAAAAUGGAGUGUCCUUGAUUCAACUCGACUGCCGAAAUCGAGAAAGAAAAAAUUCCCUCGUGUCAAAACGAUAUUUACAACCAAUCGGAAACCUCGCUGACAGACUGCGGCAAAGAGGAAACAUUUAAGCGUCACCUCCGACCGGGUGUUCGCCCCUUGUUGACGUGACUGACGGGGGAUGAGCCUAGAUGUGCUGAGUCCACAGGGCAUCUCCCGCAGUGAUGUCACUGGGAGCUCAUGUGAUGACAGUCCAAUCCUGAACGAACGCAACUCGCUGGAGCGAAUGACAUAGAGGAGCUGGAGGUAGAAGGUUAACCCCCCCUCGCCCGUGAGUAGCACUCCAUCAAACACAUAAAUCCAGUCGGGAUGCCGAGGAGUUCAGCUACUCAACAGUGCCGUAUUAUUAUUAUUUGCAAAAACGCGAUGCUCUGUCAUCCACGCAGUUAUAGGCUGAUCGUCGCUAUGGAGGAUACUGAUCACCCUCGACCUCAUGGGAGAGCGAUGGCUGGCUGUAGGCCAGCGCUUGGAGACGGGCUGGCACGUCACCCACAGCGGCCAACAUCACUGCCAAAGCUUUGUGCGCGGCCCUUAACAGCUACGGAUCAGUGCCCCAGACCCGGUGUUUAUUAGUCGACUGACUGGACAGUGUCCCUGCAGUGGAGGAUACUGAUAUGUGCAUGAAUCGAUGUGUGUGUGUGUGUGUGUGUGUGUGUGUAUGUUAGUCUGAAAAAAGAUAUUUCUCAGGGUAAAAGUAUACGUUUUAGCACCAAAACCAAAAAUAUAUGUUUGCAUGUCAACAUACUGAAUUAGCCAAGGUUGAUUAGGGCACUACAUGAAAGUUAAAUCUAUUUAAUCUCUUAUGCUAGUGGUUCCCAAACUG
ensembl:lncRNA